GAUGAACGCUGGCGGCGUGCCUAAUACAUGCAAGUCGAGCGAACGGACGAGAAGCUUGCUUCUCUGAUGUUAGCGGCGGACGGGUGAGUAACACGUGGAUAACCUACCUAUAAGACUGGGAUAACUUCGGGAAACCGGAGCUAAUACCGGAUAAUAUUUUGAACCGCAUGGUUCAAAAGUGAAAGACGGUCUUGCUGUCACUUAUAGAUGGAUCCGCGCUGCAUUAGCUAGUUGGUAAGGUAACGGCUUACCAAGGCAACGAUGCAUAGCCGACCUGAGAGGGUGAUCGGCCACACUGGAACUGAGACACGGUCAAGACUCCUAAGGGAGGCAGCAGUAGGGAAUCUUCCGCAAUGGGCGAAAGCCUGACGGAGCAACGCCGCGUGAGUGAUGAAGGUCUUCGGAUCGUAAAACUCCGUUAUUAGGGAAGAACAUAUGUGUAAGUAACUGUGCACAUCUUGACGGUAACUAAUCAGAAAGCCACGGCUAACUACGUG
rnacentral:rRNA from 1 species